UACGUAGGGUGCGAGCGUUAAUCGGAAUUACUGGGCGUAAAGCGUGCGCAGGCGGCUUUGCAAGACAGAUGUGAAAUCCCCGGGCUCAACCUGGGAACUGCCUUUGUGACUGCAUAGCUAGAGUACGGUAGAGGGGGAUGGAAUUCCGCGUGUAGCAGUGAAAUGCGUAGAUAUGCGGAGGAACACCGAUGGCGAAGGCAAUCCCCUGGACCUGUACUGACGCUCAUGCACGAAAGCGUGGGGAGCAAACAGG
rnacentral:rRNA from 1 species